rnacentral:snRNA from 1 species
AAAAAUAUGGAAUGCUUCACGAAUUUGCAUGUCAUCCUUGCACAAGGGCCAUGCUAAUCUUGUCUGUAGUGUUCCAAUUUUAGUAUAUGUGCCGCCAAAGUGAGCAC